rnacentral:rRNA from 1 species
AACGAACGCUGGCGGCGCGUCUUAAACAUGCAAGUCGAACGGCAGGAAGGGGCUUGCCCCUUCUGAGAGUGGCGGACUGGUGAGUAACACGUGGGUGACAUACCUUUUAGUUGGGGAUAGCUAUUAGAAAUAGUAGGUAAUACCGAAUGUGACCGUACCUGUUAGAGGGGUACGAGGAAAGGAGCUAAGGCUUCGCUAAAAGAAUGGCUCGCGGCCCAUUAUGCUCGUUGGUGAGGUAACGGCCCACCAAGGCGAUGAUGGGGAUCCGGCCUGAGAGGGUGAACGGACACAUUGGGACUGAGAUACGGCCCAGACUUCUACGGGAGGCAGCAGUUAAGAAUAUCCCGCAAUGGACGAAAGUCUGACGGAGCGACGCCGCGUGGAUGAAGAAUGCCGAAAGGUUGUAAAAUCCUUUUAAGCCUGAUGAAUAAGCACAGUAGGGAAUGAUUGUGCGGUGACCGUAGGGCUUGAAUAAGCACCGGCUAAUUACGUG